rnacentral:rRNA from 1 species
AUGGCCGCUGCCGCACGUGGAGGAGGAGGAGAAUUUAUGAACUACGCCGACAUCGAGGAGCAGUUCAACAACAUGGCACUGGAGGGUCCGUCCGCGCAGGACGGCAUGGGCUGCAUCGUCAGCCUGAUCAUCUCCUGCCUCCCCCACCCUUGGUCCCCGCGCCCGAGGCCGACGACUCCUCCGACUCCGAUGACGACCACUUCUCCCUCACCUCCUCCGACUCAGAGGACGAUGGCGCCGACGGGCCUACUGUCUUUCCAGCAGCGCAGGAUGGUGAUGGCCAGGACCACUUCAGCCGCCUCCCGCGCAACCUGCUCUCCAACAUCAUGUCCCGCCUCCCCACCAAGGAAGCCGCGCGCACCAUGGUCCUCUCGACCCGCUGGCGCUGCCGCUGCGUGUGGGCGGCGACGACGCCCACUUCAAGGCCGCCGAAGGGCACAGCGUCUUCGAUGCCGUGCGCGGCAUCUCGCUCUGCGUGGCCGCUCACCCUGGCCCCAUCCGAGCGGUGCGCGUCACCCGCACCUCCUUCUACGAGCAGGAGUACGCACUCCAGCGCCUGGUCGCCAGCCUCGCCGCCAAGAAGAUCGAGGACCUCAUCCUCUACAACCGCCCCUGGCCGAUCAACAUGCCGCUCCCUGA